CAAGUACCUACUUCAGAUGAAGGAGGCGCAAGACAAAAUCCAGGACUUGCCUAUGGAAACCCAUAUUCUGGUAUCCAAGAAAGUUCUUCCCCCAGCCCGGUAAGUAUUUGAUUCAUGAGAAUAUUCCCACAAAGCACUUGAAAAUUUCCCUUCCUGCUCCAGUUCAUGGGAGAACCAUAGGGAGACAGGUUCAUUUUGAUAACUCCAGAAGUCAGCUGGAUCAGUUUGUUUUGGGCCCAAGGCUGAGCCAGCCUGUUGUGGAAGGGAGAUGAAAGCACAGUUCAUCCAUCAGCAUUUUGCUUAGGAUCUAUACCUUUGAAUUAUUUGGUAGCAUAAGUAGGGAGGAGAUCUGAACCAGGCAGCUAGCCAAACAAGUUCUGUCCAAUGCCCCUUCAAGGCUAGAAGCUAUGUUGGCUAUUUCAGCAAUAUUAGGCCAUUUCAAUUCUGGGGUUAGACGAAGCCUGGUAAGCAUCUUCAAAUGUGCAUUCUCUUCAUUCAUUCACUAUUUCUUGAGUGCCUAACCAUGUGCCAGUCAUUAUGCUAGGCACUGAGGAUACAGUGGAAGACAGGAUGGCCACAUCUGUGCCACAUAUAGCUUACAUUUGUACUGACCUCUUUGCUCUUCCUCCCAGCUCUCCAUCAAGAAAUGCCCUAUCUGCAAAGCAGAUGAUAUUUGUGAUCACACCUUGGAGCAACAGCAGAUGCAGCCCCUUUGUUUCAAUUGUCCAAUUUGUGACAAGAUCUUCCCAGCUACAGAGAAGCAGAUCUUUGAAGACCACGUGUUCUGCCACUCUCUCUGAGUAUCCCAACCUCUUGGAUGUAUACAGAGAUUUUAUAGAAUAGAACCUAUAGCUUCUACCAUGAGUUAUAUGAGUCAAGAUCCUGCCUAACCUGAAAUUAUUAGGGAUUUACUCAGCCCUGCUGCCGCUAACAGUGGAGUUAUGUCACUGAUCUGAAGGUCACUGUUAAGGGCUUCUGCUGCCAUCCUUGUGGGUUGCUACCUUUAAGUCGCAUAACUCUAGCUGUAUCAUCCUCUCACCUGUCAUUCUUCUGAGGGUCUCAGUACAAGGGCCCUGGGAUGGAGCCAACCUGGGUAUUCACAACAGGCCUGACUUGAUACUAAGUGAUUAGUUUUCCAAGUUGUCCCACUGCCAUUCAAAGUCAGCCCUUGAGUGUAUUUGUUCUCAGUCCUAACCCUGGGGCCAGAGAUUGGUCCGAGGUUGAGAAUUCCUUCCUCCUCAUCCUUGGUGUUGCUUUCUCCAAAUGAUUGUUUUAGACUAGCC
rnacentral:lncRNA from 1 species